rnacentral:rRNA from 1 species
GAUGAACGCUGGCGGCGUGCCUAAUACAUGCAAGUCGAGCGAACAGACGAUGAGCUUGCUCCUCUGACGUUAGCGGCGGACGGGUGAGUAACACGUGGAUCACCUACCUAUCAGACUGGGAUAACUUCGGGAAACCGGAUCUAAUACCGGAUAAUCUAUUGCACCGCAUGGUUCAAUAGUGAAAGACGGCUUUGCUGUCACUUCUAGAUGGAUCCGCGCCGCAUUAGCUAGUUGGUAAGGUAACGGCUUACCAAGGCUACGAGGCGUAGACGACCUGUGAGAGGGGUAGGCGACAUGGGAAGGGAGACAGGGACAAGAGGCCUACGGGAGGGAGCAGAAGGGAAUCGGCCGCAAUAGGCGAAAGCCUGACGGAGCAACCCCGAGUGAGUGAUAAAGACCUUCGGAGCGGAAAAACCUGUUAUUAGGGAAGAACAAAUGUGUAAGUAACUAUGCACGUAUUGACGGUACCUAAUAAGAAAGCCACGGCUAACUACGUG